GCACAAGCGGUGGAGCAUGUGGUUUUAAUUCGAAGCAACGCGAAGAACCUUUACCAGGUCUUGACAUCCCGAUGCUAUUUCUAGAGAUAGAAGUUACUUCGGUACAUCGGUGACAGGUGGUGCAUGGUUGUCGUCAGCUCGUGUCGUGAGAUGUUGGGUUAAGUCCCGCAACGAGCGCAACCCCUAUUGUUAGUUGCCAUCAUUCAGUUGGGCACUCUAGCGAGACUGCCGGUAAUAACCGGAGGAAGGUGGGGAUGACGUCAAAUCAUCAUGCCCCUUAUGACCUGGGCUACACACGUGCUACAAUGGUUGGUACAACGAGUUGCGAGUCGGUGACGGCGAGCUAAUCUCUUAAAGCCAAUCUCAGUUCGGAUUGUAGGCUGCAACUCGCCUACAUGAAGUCGGAAUCGCUAGUAAUCGCGGAUCAGCACGCCGCGGUGAAUACGUUCCCGGGCCUU
rnacentral:rRNA from 1 species